rnacentral:rRNA from 1 species
AGUGAACGCUGGCGGUAGGCCUAACACAUGCAAGUCGAACGGCAGCACAGUAAGAGCUUGCUCUUACGGGUGGCGAGUGGCGGACGGGUGAGGAAUACAUCGGAAUCUACUUUUUCGUGGGGGAUAACGUAGGGAAACUUACGCUAAUACCGCAUACGACCUACGGGUGAAAGCAGGGGAUCUUCGGACCUUGCGCGAUUGAAUGAGCCGAUUUCGGAUUAGCUAGUUGGCGGGGUAAAGGCCCACCAAGGCGACGAUCCGUAGCUGGUCUGAGAGGAUGAUCAGCCACACUGGAACUGAGACACGGUCCAGACUCCUACGGGAGGCAGCAGUGGGGAAUAUUGGACAAUGGGCGCAAGCCUGAUCUAGCCAUACCGCGUGGGUGAAGAAGCCCUUCGGGUUGUAAAGCCCUUUUGUUGGGAAAGAAAAGCAGCAGGUUAAUACCCCGCUGUUCUGACGGUACCCAAAGAAUAAGCACCGGCUAACUUCGUG